GUCGUGGCUCAAUGGUAGAGUGCUUGCCUAGCAUGCAUGAGGCACUGGAUUCAAUCCCCAACAUCACA
rnacentral:tRNA from 1 species